UGCAGUGCUGUCUGCAUAAACAGGUUGUG
rnacentral:piRNA from 1 species